rnacentral:rRNA from 1 species
AUGUCUCUGAAAAAAAAAGGUUUACAUCUUCGCCCCCUCUCGUAUUUCAUCCUGGCUCCGCCCCUGACGAGGAUGGCAAGUUUAGCUAACAUGCACAGCAUUUUUCUGGCAAAAAAUCCACUGAGCACGGAUUUGCCACCGUCUAGAAGGAAGCAGAACAAUAAGAAACUUCUGCAUGGAGGGAGCGGUGGGUUAGAUAUAUAUGCCCAACCCUCAUGGUUUCCUUCUUCUUCUGAUGCUGCUGCUGCUGCUGGUGGUGGUGGUGAUCACCCAAAAGCUCAAGCUCAUGGGGAAACACAGGCAAUGCACUUAUACUUCAACGGAUACGAAACUAGGGUCCACAAACUAGUCAUUUGUGCUUAUUAUCUAAUGAAAAAGCUGAUACACGGUUUUGAGGAUGCCCCCAGAAAGCUGAUUGAUCAUCUCUCAGAGUCAUAUGAUAAUCAGGCAGCUAAAUCAUUCUUCUUGGCUGGCUGGUACAGUGAAGACUGCUCUCUAUGGAAAAGUAGAAGAUCCUUGCAGAGGGCAAUCGUGGAGGAGUUAAAUCUUGGCCAUUUACUGCCCAUGUUUGAUAAGGAGGAUGAGGAUGAUGAUUUUAGAGGGAUAAAGAUCGGCUCUAGACUAGAGAUACCACGCAUCGGAAGUGAGAUCAACGCGUCUCUAAGAAAUGAAAGAUUUCUGAUGAUUUUUCAUUAUGGGGGAGAAGAAGUCAUUGAUCUAGCAGAGUAUGGCAUUCCUAAUCCUGAAUUUGGGACAUAUGCUUUAGGGCAACUGCUAUGGAGUGCCGCCGGAGGCGCGGCAUUCCUAGCCGCCGGAGAAGAGAGGGGAGUCGAGGCCAUCCGUCCCGGACUCCCUCCCCUAGGCCUGGACACCAGCAGUGGCUCCGUCGCCGCAAGAGGAGAAGAAGGGGCCGAGGCCACCUGUCCCGGGCCCCCUCCCCGCGGUACCGCCGUCGCCGCGAUAGGAGAAGAGGAAGCCGAGGCCACCUGCCCCAUACUCCCUCCACUCAGCACCGCCGUCGCCGCGAGAGGAGGAGAGGAAGCCGAGGCCACCUGCCCUAGGCUCCCUCCACUUGGCACUGCUGUCGCCGCGAGAGGAGAGGUGCGGCAUCGUCGCCGCAAGAGGAGAAGUGGGAGCCGAGGCCACCUGCCCCGGGCCCCACCCCCUAGGUACCCCGGCACCGCAAGGGGAGAGAAGGAAACCGAGGCCGCCUGCCCCAAGCUCCCUCCCCUCAGCACCGACAUUGCCGCUCGAGGAGAAGAAGGGGCCGAAGCCACCUGGCCCGAGCCCCCUCCUCUAGGCGCAGCCGUCAACACUAGCUCCGUCGGCGUCCGGGGAGAGGAAAGAACCGAAGCCAUCUACCUUGGACUCCCUCCCCCAGUCACCGUUGCCAUCAUCGACUCCGUCACCUGA